GAAAUGCGAUACUUGGUGUGAAUUGCAGAAUCCCGUGAACCAUCGAAUCUUUGAACGCACCUUGCGCCCCUUGGCUAUUCCGAAGGGCAUGCCUGUUUGAGUAUCAUGAACACCUCAACUCUCAUGGCUUGCCAUGAUGAGCUUGGACUUUGGGGGUCUUGCUGGCCUGUGGUCGGCUCCUCUCAAAUGAAUUAGCUUGCCAGUGUUUGGUGGCAUCACAGGUGUGAUAACUAUCUACGCUUGUGGUUUUCCACCAGAUAACCUUCAGCGAUGGAGGUUCGCUGGAGCUCAUAAAUGUCUCUCCCCAGCGAAGACAGCUUUGUGAACGUUUGAUCUCAAAUCAGGUAGGACUACCCGCUGAACUUAA
rnacentral:misc_RNA from 1 species